AUGUCAACCCUUCAGGGAAAGGACUCAUAUCCCAUAUAUAGGAGGAGAGAUUAUGGACGUCGUGCAAAGGUACAUGGCCAAGAGUUAGACAAUAGGUGGGUUGUUCCAUAUAAUCCUUACCUACUAAGAAGGUAUAAUUGCCACAUCAAUGUCGAUGUUUGCUCAAGCAUAAAAGCUGUAAAGUACCUCUUUAAAUACAUAUAUAAGGGGCAUGAUCGAGCAUCUGUUUCUAUCGACGAGGUGGAUAGUGAUAGGAACAUUGAUGAGAUAAAGCAAUACCGAGAUUCCAGUAAUGAGGCUAGGGAGAUCAUAGAGGAGUCCACGAUAGAGGUGGACCCAGAACACCUUGGCUUGUCAUCUUUCCUAAACCCAGAACAGAGAUAUGCAUAUGAUGAGAUACUUGCGACCAUCAAUAGUGGCCAAGGAGGUGUGUUCUUUGUUGAUGGACCCGGAGGCACGGGAAAGACUUAUUUGUACAAAGCACUACUUGCAAAAGUACAUGCCGAGGGUAAAAUAGCUAUUGCAACAGCGACAUCAGGCGUUGCUGCAUCCAUCUUGCCUGGAGGGAGGACUUCACACUCAAGGUCUAAAAUACCAUUGAACACCGAAGACGGUGGGGUCUGCAGUUUCACCAAGCAAAGUGGGACAGCUAAGCUUCUUAUGAGGGCGUCCCUCAUAAUUUGGGACAAGGCCUCCAUGACAAAGUGGCAGGCGGUCGAGGCCCUUGACAAUAGCAUGAGGGACAUCAUGGCUCGACCUGACCUAACUUUUGGUGGAAAGACAAUUGUUUUUGGGGGAGACUUCAGACAAGUGCUUCCUGUUGUUCGUAAGGGAACAAGGUCCCAAAUAACUGACGCGAUGCUGAGUAAGUCUUACCUUUGGGAGAAUAUGAGACAACUAAGACUUGUCCGUAAUAUGAGGGCUCAGAGCGAUCCAUGGUUUGCUGAUUACCUUCUCCGUGUUGGAAUGGCAUUGAAGAUACCGUGGAUGAUGAUUACAUACGGCUUCCAGAUGAGAUUUGUGUACCAUACACCAGCGAUGCCACUGAUACUGAUAAGCUUAUUGAAAGUGUUUUCCAGAUGA
rnacentral:rRNA from 1 species